GGUCGGGUGGUGUAGUUGGUUAUCACAUCUCGUUAACAUUUGUUUAACAUAAAUACCGAGAAGGUCCUGGGAUCGAGCCCCAGCCUGAUCA
rnacentral:tRNA from 1 species